AUUGAACGCUGGCGGCAGGCAUAACACAUGCAAGUCGAGCGGAGCGGCGGACGGGUGAGUACUGCAUAGGAAUCUGCCUGGAGGUGGGGGAUAACGUCCGGAAACGGGCGCUAAUACCGCAUACUAUCAGAUGAGCCUAUGUCGGGGUGGCGAGUUGGUGGGGUAAAGGCAUACCAAGGCGAGGCUCGGUAAAUGGUCUGAGAGGAUGAUCAGUCAAACUGUAACUGAGACCCGGUCCAGACUCCUACGGUAGGCUGCAGUGGGUAAUAUUGGACAAUGGGCGAAAGCUUGAUCCAGCCAUGCCGCGUGUGUGAAGAAGGUCUUCGGAUUGUAAAGCACUUUAAGUUGGGAGGCGUUACCAACAGAAUAAGCACCGGCUAACUUCGUGCCAGCAGCCGCGGUAAUUC
rnacentral:rRNA from 1 species